AACGAACGCUGGCGGCAGGCUUAACACAUGCAAGUCGAGCGCCCCGCAAGGGGAGCGGCAGACGGGUGAGUAACGCGUGGGAAUCUACCCAUCUCUGCGGAACAACCCCGGGAAACUGGAGCUAAUACCGCAUACGCCCUUCGGGGGAAAGAUUUAUCGGAGAUGGAUGAGCCCGCGUUGGAUUAGCUAGUUGGUGGGGUAAAGGCCUACCAAGGCGACGAUCCAUAGCUGGUCUGAGAGGAUGAUCAGCCACAUUGGGACUGAGACACGGCCCAAACUCCUACGGGAGGCAGCAGUGGGGAAUAUUGGACAAUGGGCGAAAGCCUGAUCCAGCCAUGCCGCGUGAGUGAUGAAGGCCCUAGGGUUGUAAAGCUCUUUCACCGAUGAAGAUAAUGACGGUAGUCGGAGAAGAAGCCCCGGCUAACUUCGUGCCAGCCGCCGCAGUAAGAC
rnacentral:rRNA from 1 species